GGGCGGUUGGCGCAAUGGUAGCGCAUUGGUUUUCGGCCUCAGCUACAUCACCAAAGGUUGUGGGUUCAAUCCCCAUGCCGCUCG